rnacentral:rRNA from 1 species
AUUGAACGCUGGCGGCAGGCCUAACACAUGCAAGUCGAACGAGUGGCGGACGGGUGAGUAAUGUCUGUGACACUGCCCGAUGGAGGGGGAUAACUACUGGAAACUGUAGCUAAUACCGCAUACCAUCGGAUGUGCCCGGAUGGGAGUAGCUAGUAGGUGGGGUAACGGCUCACCUAGGCGACGAUCCCUAGCUGGUCUGAGAGGAUGAACAGGCAAACUGGAACUGAGACACGGGCCAGACUCCUACGGGAGGCAGCAGUGGGGAAUAUUGCACAAUGGGCGAAAGCCUGAUGCAGCCAUGCCGCGUGUAUGAAGAAGGCCUUCGGGUUGUAAAGUACUUUAAGCGAGGAGGCGUUACUCGCAGAAGAAGCACCGGCUAACUCCGUGCCAGCAGCCGCGGUAAUAC